rnacentral:rRNA from 1 species
CCUACGGGAGGCAGCAGUGGGGAAUAUUGGACAAUGGGCGAAAGCCUGAUCCAGCCAUGCCGCGUGUGUGAAGAAGGCCUUCGGGGUGUAAAGCACUUUCAGUGGGGAAGAAAGCCUUGGGGCUAAUACCCUCGAGGAAGGACAUCACCCACAGAAGAAGCACCGGCUAACUCCGUGCCAGCAGCCGCGGUAAUACGGAGGGUGCGAGCGUUAAUCGGAAUUACUGGGCGUAAAGCGCGCGUAGGCGGGUCGAUAAGCCGGUUGUGAAAGCCCCGGGCUCAACCUGGGAACGGCAUCCGGAACUGUCAGGCUAGAGUGCAGGAGAGGAAGGUAGAAUUCCCGGUGUAGCGGUGAAAUGCGUAGAGAUCGGGAGGAAUACCAGUGGCGAAGGCGGUCUUCUGGACUGACACUGACGCUGAGGUGCGAAAGCGUGGGUAGCAAACAGGAUUAGAUACCCCUGUAGUC